UGAACGCUGGCGGCAGGCCUAACACAUGCAAGUCGAGCGGUAGAGAGAAGCUUGCUUCUCUUGAGAGCGGCGGACGGGUGAGUAAUGCCUAGGAAUCUGCCUGGUAGUGGGGGAUAACGUUCGGAAACGGACGCUAAUACCGCAUACGUCCUACGGGAGAAAGCAGGGGACCUUCGGGCCUUGCGCUAUCAGAUGAGCCUAGGUCGGAUUAGCUAGUUGGUGAGGUAAUGGCUCACCAAGGCGACGAUCCGUAACUGGUCUGAGAGGAUGAUCAGUCACACUGGAACUGAGACACGGUCCAGACUCCUACGGGAGGCAGCAGUGGGGAAUAUUGGACAAUGGGCGAAAGCCUGAUCCAGCCAUGCCGCGUGUGUGAAGAAGGUCUUCGGAUUGUAAAGCACUUUAAGUUGGGAGGAAGGGCAGUUACCUAAUACGUGAUUGUUUUGACGUUACCGACAGAAUAAGCACCGGCUAACUCUGUGCCAGCAGCCGCGGUAAUACAGAGGGUGCAAGCGUUAAUCGGAAUUACUGGGCGUAAAGCGCGCGUAGGUGGUUUGUUAAGUUGGAUGUGAAAUCCCCGGGCUCAACCUGGGAACUGCAUUCAAAACUGACUGACUAGAGUGUGGUAGAGGGUGGUGGAAUUUCCUGUGUAGCGGUGAAAUGCGUAGAUAUAGGAAGGAACACCAGUGGCGAAGGCGACCACCUGGACCAACACUGACACUGAGGUGCGAAAGCGUGGGGAGCAAACAGGAUUAGAUACCCUGGUAGUCCACGCCGUAAACGAUGUCAACUAGCCGUUGGGAGCCUUGAGCUCUUAGUGGCGCAGCUAACGCAUUAAGUUGACCGCCUGGGGAGUACGGCCGCAGGUUAAAACUCAAUGAAUUGACGGGCGCCC
rnacentral:rRNA from 1 species